UGCAGGUCAGAAUGGCAUCAGAUGAGGGAAAACUCUUUGUCGGUGGACUGAGUUUUGACACCAAUGAGCAGUCAUUGGAACAAGUCUUUUCUAAAUAUGGACAAAUUUCUGAAGUUGUUGUGGUGAAAGACAGAGAGACUCAGAGAUCCAGAGGUUUUGGCUUUGUUACUUUUGAAAACAUAGAUGAUGCUAAAGAUGCAAUGAUGGCCAUGAAUGGAAAGUCUGUAGACGGACGUCAGAUCAGAGUUGAUCAGGCUGGAAAAUCAUCAGAGAACAGAUCUCGUGGAUACAGAGGGGGGUCUUCUGGGGGCAGAGGCUUUUUCCGUGGCGGCAGAGGUCGGGGCCGUGGCUUCUCUAGAGGAGGUGGAGAGAGAGGCUAUGGCGGAAGCAGAUUUGAUUCCAGAAGUGGAGGAUAUAAUGGCUCCAGAGACUACUAUAAUAGCAGCAGGAGUCAAGGUGGCUAUGGUGACAGGUCUUCAGGAGGAUCCUACAGAGACAGCUAUGACAGUUACGCAUAUGGAAACUGCAGUGUCCUUGGAGAAAAAGAAGUGUUGUGCCUCCAACAGAAACCUCUGAGACGAAAGCUGCUCUCUUGGCUAGUUCAUAUGUGGAAAUAGUCCUGUAAUUCGAGGCUGAAGAGAAGAUGGGACACUCGACAGGGAAGCUGAGUGGGGAUUCUGAGGAAGGAGAGCAUUCGUUCCAAGGAAGCAGGAGCAAGACACAAGUUUGCCAACCAGCAAUGAAAUGCGUCAGAGAAGACCAAGGACAGCCAUUGACUGGAGUGGUGGAGAUGAAGAGCUUUGAGCAGUGGUGUUACUGAUUUUUAUAUAGGUCAAUUAAACAAGGAAAUAAGUCAAUUAAGCUAGAAUAAAAUACUGGAAUGUGGAAAAAAACCAAACCAAUCUCUGUAGUACUUUUGUGGGGAAGCAUAAGAAUAUUAGACUGUGGCCAAGGCAUCCAAUAUAAAUAUAGUUAUCUGGUGUAUAGCCCCAAUUAAAAGUGCAAAAUAAACAAAUGCUGUUGUGGUUGGGGAACUGGACAGAGAGGGUAACCGGUCUUUAGGGGCAAGUUUGAGGAAGAAAUUUAAUUGCAUCAUUGUAACCUUGAAUUAAGUGGCCUAAUUACAUGAAGUUUCCGCAUCUGUGAAACUUCAGUAGUGAAGCAGCUACAUCUGAAGGCAACUGUCAGAUUAGCAAUUACAUAAACAAGGAGUCAGUAUUUGUGUGAAAUGGAAGUGGCUUCUGCCAGUUGAAAUGGUAACAAAUACAAAAGUCUAAUUUGCACUUAAAUGCUAAAGCUUUUUUGAGCUUGGAUAAGCAAUGAUUUCCUUCCAUACACAUUAGAGUAAUUAAAAUUGUUUUGCUGAUGCAAGUUGAGAUGUGAUGUUUCUGCUACUUGGAGAAGUGGCUGCAUGUUUCCAUUUUCAGGUGGGACAUGAGAUUGCCCUGUCCCGAUUUCUGUGUGUUUAAGUACUUGGCUCAAGAUAAAGUUGCCCCAAGUUUCCCAUCUCAAUGAAGUGGUUAUCUGUAACUCAAAAGCAAACUUUUGAGUUUGGGUUUUAGCAUCACUGAUGUUAAAAACUCUUUUUGUCUAAGUCUGAAAGGUAACAAUUUAGGUAUUUGCAAAUUAACUCUGGUCUUUUUUUUUUUGUCCUGGAAUUUUCUAGUAGAGCAACUUCUUCAGGUGAAAACUUAGGUGCUUGGAGCUGAGAAGUGGAACAAGACAAGUGUACAAGCAGUACUGAGCUGUGCAGCUUUCGAGUACUGCAGUUGGAAGUUGAGAUGGAUGGUGGGAGCACUCGGGCUUUAAAAAGGGCAGUAGGGUGGUAACUGGUUUCACCGAUCUGAUCAAUGCCAGGAGGGUGCCCUGUACAGAUGGGGCAAAGUAUGAGCUGCCUGGAGGAGUUAAUGAGAUAGCGCAGUCCUAACAGCUGGCAAAGUCUUAAAAACUUCUAAAACACUUGCUGUGACUAAAGAGGAGCUGCAUAGUCAGAACAAAGCCUACUGGUAUGUGGGAAUGAGAAAUUCAGCCCAAGAUGAAAGGCGAAUAAGCUACCAGUUGCAGCGACUGCAAUUUUGUAUUGAUUCCUUUGACUCUAUGGAAUAGAAUGGCUAAUAAAAGACUUAGUGCCAUUUUCCCU